rnacentral:rRNA from 1 species
AUUGAACGCUGGCGGCAGGCCUAACACAUGCAAGUCGAGCGGAUGAAGGGAGCUUGCUCCUGGAUUCAGCGGCGGACGGGUGAGUAAUGCCUAGGAAUCUGCCUGGUAGUGGGGGAUAACGUCCGGAAACGGGCGCUAAUACCGCAUACGUCCUGAGGGAGAAAGUGGGGGAUCUUCGGACCUCACGCUAUCAGAUGACCCUAGGUCGGAUUAGCUAGUUGGUAGGGUAAAGGCCUACCAAGGCGACGAUCCGUAACUGGUCUGAGAGGAUGAUCAGUCACACUGGAACUGAGACACGGUCCAGACUCCUACGGGAGGCAGCAGUGGGGAAUAUUGGACAAUGGGCGAAAGCCUGAUCCAGCCAUGCCGCGUGUGUGAAGAAGGUCUUCGGAUUGUAAAGCACUUUAAGUUGGGAGGAAGAGCAGUAAGUUAAUACCUUGCUGUUUUGACGUUACCAACAGAAUAAGCACCGGCUAACUUCGUG